rnacentral:lncRNA from 1 species
CAUAACUGAAUUAGUGAAAUUUGCCAUCCUGAUUAGCUAUUUUCCACUUGUUACUUUAGAAUUAUCAAGGCCUUGGAGAGGAGAAGGAAGAAGAAAGGCACAAAUGCUUCAGAUUGCUAUCCUUUGACACUAAGGAAAUGAAUUAGUAAAUAGAGAUGAUGAGCUCUUGGACAGAAUAAAAGAUCAUGGUUGCUUUCAAAAGAAAUGUCAGAUUGCUAAAACUCAGUGGCUGCAGGGAUGUUAAAUAUUUGGAGGGACAGCUUCCGUUAUCUGGAGGUUGCUACUGUGACAGACAAUCAUGCAGAUCGGAGGCAGAAUAUAGGGAUCUCCAGGAGCAAAGGUAGAAGGCGUUUAGCCUGCUGGCGGGUUCUGGCCCCGGGCACCUGGCAGUAUGGAGUAUAUGCUGAUCAUGAAGCUGAUAUACAUGUAAAAUAUGCCUCUUCAAAAACAAGACCAGAAAAAUGGGUGAGGAUAGAAGUAGGAAGACAUAUGGCAAGUAGUGAACAGAGACAUUAUAAUAUAAGGUAAGGAUUUGAAAAAUGAAACAAAUUUGGACUUAUUUCUUGUGAAAAAUAAUGAAAGAAGUUAUUUUUAUUAACAAGGCAAGGGAC